rnacentral:rRNA from 1 species
AACGAACGCUGGCGGCAUGCCUAACACAUGCAAGUCGAACGAGACCUUCGGGUCUAGUGGCGCACGGGUGCGUAACGCGUGGGAACCUGCCUUUAGGUUCGGAAUAACUCGGAGAAAUUUGAGCUAAUACCGGAUGAUGUCUUCGGACCAAAGAUUUAUCGCCUUUAGAUGGGCCCGCGUUGGAUUAGCUAGUUGGUGGGGUAAAGGCCUACCAAGGCGACGAUCCAUAGCUGGUCUGAGAGGAUGAUCAGCCACACUGGGACUGAGACACGGCCCAGACUCCUACGGGAGGCAGCAGUGGGGAAUAUUGGACAAUGGGCGAAAGCCUGAUCCAGCAAUGCCGCGUGAGUGAUGAAGGCCUUAGGGUUGUAAAGCUCUUUUACCCGAGAUGAUAAUGACAGUAUCGGGAGAAUAAGCUCCGGCUAACUCCGUG